UACGAAGGGGGCUAGCGUUGCUCGGAAUCACUGGGCGUAAAGCGCACGUAGGUGGAUUGUUAAGUCAGGGGUGAAAUCCUGGAGCUCAACUCCAGAACUGCCUUUGAUACUGGCGAUCUCGAGUCCGGGAGAGGUGAGUGGAACUGCGAGUGUAGAGGUGAAAUUCGUAGAUAUUCGCAAGAACACCAGUGGCGAAGGCGGCUCACUGGCCCGGUACUGACGCUGAGGUGCG
rnacentral:rRNA from 1 species